GGUCGAAAGCUGUCCUGGGUAGCAACUUCUAUCAAAAGGAGCAUCACCUUGUCCAGCUGUUUUCCUAAUGCUCAGUGACAAAGGUGGCCCAGAGCAAAGAGAAGAGGCUUUGGGAACAGACGUGAAAUGGAGUGGAAGCUGUGGGCUCUGCAGGAGGGAGGACCACUUGCCUAGGGAGUGGCGCCACCCACAGCGGGCUGGACCCUUUCGCCUCAACCAUUAAUCAAGAAAAUGCUUCACAGACCUGCGUAAAGGCCAAUCGGCUGGAGGCAUUAUCUCAGAUGGAGUUCCUUUUUCCCAGACUACCCUAACUGCUAACAAAAAUAUAACUGACACAACAUAAAUAAAUUUACUUAACCCAGUUUUUAAAAUAAGAGUUAAAAAGCACUUCAGAGGAGGUACAUUUUCUUCCAUUCUCCUACAGUAUCCAGCUGGAGCUGAUGCAAGACGGAGUAACACACAGGAAAAGCACACAGACUUUACAAGUUUGUAAGUACCCUCAUAAGAAAAUUGAAGACCCUAGGACGGCAGUUCUCAACCUGUGGGCCGAGACCCCUUCGGAUCAUGAUAAUUGUAUUUAUAAUAUUACCAGAUAUUUAUAUUACAAUUCAUAACAGUAGCAAAAUUACAGUUAUGAAGUAGUAACAAAAAUAAUUUUAUAGUUGGGGGGGAUCACCGCAACAUGAGGAACUGUUUUAAAGGGUCACAGUGUUAGGAUGGUUGAGAACCAGUGGAAAAGGAGACACUUUUAGACAUGAACACUCAUAAGCUACAUGGGAUUUUUAAAAAAAUAGUAAGAUGGGGAACAGGAACUUGGGAGAUGCUGGCCGGUUUAUGGAGUUGAGUUUGCAUAGACGUCUUGGCUCCUCUCAAGAGGAAGGAGAUCUUUUCCAUGAGCUUCAUUUCUGGGUUUCAAGAAGAAAAGAGAAGGUCAGAAUGGCCUUCGUGCACUCCCUGAUCUUGAAAACCUUAGCCCCAGGUAGUUAACAAGUUCCCUAGGCCAGCCUGGACUACUGAGCCACACCCCAUCCCAAUCCUACGUGACCGAUUUUGAACUCUCGUUCAUUGUCAACCCCUGAAACUAUUUUAGUGUGACUGUGACUCUGGAAUACAAUAAAUCUCAGCUUGUA